CUUCCCAGAAAAUGUUUCCAGGCAGGUGGUGAGCAAAGUCAGGAAGGAAAACAACCACCUCAGGGAGAAGGGGAGACACAGGAGCUCUGUGACCUAAACUCUGGUGCAGAAUUCACCUGCUCUGCAAGCCUCUCCGUCCUCGAGAGAGGACUCUGAUGAAGGCUUGACCAGAGAGGAGUACAGAGAUGACCUCACUUGCCCACAAGUAACAUACUCCUAUUUAUAUGCUCAAGACUCAACAUGGUACCACACUGGAGUGCUGAUUCAUGGCUUACUGAUUAAGUUGUACUUGGCCUUUCCUGUAAAUAAGCAAAAAGAAAAGAGUUUCUAUUGUCCAUUUUGUAACCUCUUUGGGCUCUUCACCCAGAGAAAGCUUUCCUUCUAUAAAUGGGUCCCAGAUGUAUUGUGAUCUUUUCAGGAAGAAAGAAGCUGAGCUAUGGAGCUGCUCACACUCUAGAUGACAGGAGCUGCUGCAUCUAUCUGAGCAUGCAACCGCAUAUUUAUUUGCACGAAAUCGGCAAGUUGCUACUUGAACCAGGUUGGCAGGUGAGCAAUAAGCCAGGGGAAAAACUAUAGUUGGUCACAAUGAGAGCAUUGAGGCUGAAGCUGAGGCCCUGGGAUGGGGGCAUAUGCCAAAUUCAAGGAGGCCUUUUUGCAACUGGCCUAGGUGGAAAGGCUAGGAGGCCAGUCAAACCCAGUCUUAAAGCCUAAUGCGAUAGGAAUUGGGGAUAAAAGGCCUAGGAGGGCUGUGGCAAACAACCUUUUGUUAGUGAAUGAAGAAAAAUUUCUGUGACUGGAGUGAAAAGUUAUCCUUUUCGUAUCUAUCACCUGAACUUCAAAUGCUCAGACCAGGUGCCAACACACUACUUGCCUUCAGCAACUUCAGCACAAAAACAGUGACCUUUGCCAUCUGUGCACCUUCCUGGCCCUUGGUACCCCUUCCCUCUCUAGCAGUCCCCUUACUCUCCAGGAGAUCUCUUGACUGGCCAUGUGCUCACCAGUAGUGCACCCCUUCCCACUCCACCCUUCACACCACCUAGCCUCAGGGCUGCCUGGCUUGGGCGGUCCUCUUCAGUGAAGGGAGCCACUCACAUAAGCACUUAGAAGGGGCUGCAAAGGAGGAGCCGCAGGGGGUGGAGAGGCUCCGUUACCUUCUGCCUCUGGAACACAUGAGUUAGGGGUGCCACCUGGCAAUCCUUGUGUGCCCCAAAGACCUUGCACAGAGAGCAGGUGGGCACUUCACAGUUCAGACAGUAGAUGUUGAUGCGUUCUUCUUCAUGCUCCUCACACAUGGGCUGGUCAGACUUCUUUUCUGGUCUGGGAGGAGGUAAGCAGAUAAAUGUGUCAGCUCCCAUGGGGCCAAAGCAGGGAGGGGUGAUUAGCAUUGCUAUUCCAGAAAACUCCCACAGUACCUUUCUUGUGCUCAGAGCCCUCAAAAUUUAGUUGCCCUGAGGGCUUAGCAGUGGUGUGCUGAUAGAUGUCCAGCAACCAGCCUGGCAUAGGGGGUAGGACUUGGACACUCUGAUCUGUAGUAUUUGACAAUUUCUGUGGUGAGUGUUCCCAUCAUGGCUGAUUUCAAGUUAUUGAGGGUUCCACACAUGGCUAGUGAAAUUCCUGAAAGUUGACCACUGGAUUUUUGUGUUAGGAGGGUGAUCCAGGACUCUCUCCAUACACUCAAGUCUCUUGAGAUACUUUCCAAUUAUGGCAAAAGAGGGAGAAGUUGUUGGUAAAUGAAAUCCCAAGUUUCCUCCAGCUUGGCAGAAGCGCUAGAUCCCAACUCUCCAACCUCAGGCAAACACCUUUCCCACCGAAAGGAGAAGGGAGAGGAGCCCAGAUCUCCGGUUAUUAGUUUAGGCACUAGUGGGAAGUACCUUUGUGUAAGAAGGAAAAUAUCAGCAUGCAUGUCAUUAAUUUGUUUGAGUCUCUUUCUGCCAUUCAGAAAAUUAAAUGUAAAUAAUUUCCUGAGUGAGGACUUGGCACGGACUGAGAGUGGGUAGUUUGUACUCAGUGAAGGGGCACAAUGCUUUAAGCAAUAAGAAAAAUGCAAAAUGCUGUUCUGGGAGGUGGUGGUAACCUUGGAAAUAAGGAUUUUACAGAUAAUCCUCAAGUUUCAGUUUUUCCGACAGCUCAGCAUCAGCCAAAACUUUCUGAAACUGCAACAGGUAAUAAUGGAGCGUUGGAUUUGUGUAUGUUAGUGAGAUGAUAACCAAGGGAUGAGGAAUUGAAAACACGAAAUGGGAGUGACAAGUCAUUGCUAUUUAAGAAUAACCUAUUAGCUGUAGAAUCACCUGAAGUGGCCGAAGGUACAGCACAUGGUAGGACCCUGUCUAUUUCCCUGAUGAUCAGCAUGGCUUAUGUAUUAUGAUCAAGAUCAAAAUUACACCAAAUCAGGGCAGCCCUGGUGGCUCAGUGGUUUAGUGCUGCCUUUAGCUCAGGGCCUGAUCCUGGAGAC